UACAGAGGGUGCGAGCGUUAAUCUGAAUUACUGGGCGUAAAGCGCGCGUAGGCGGCUUUGCAAGUCGGGUGUGAAAUCCCCAGGCUUAACCUGGGAACUGCAUUCGAGACUGCAUUGCUAGAGUAUGGGAGAGGGAAGUGGAAUUUCCGGUGUAGCGGUGAAAUGCGUAGAUAUCGGAAGGAACAUCAGUGGCGAAAGCGACUUCCUGGACCAAUACUGACGCUCAUGUGCGAAAGCGUGGGGAGCAAACAGG
rnacentral:rRNA from 1 species